UACAGAGGGUGCUAGCGUUGUUCGGAAUCAUUGGGCGUAAAGGGCGUGUAGGCGGUUUGUUAAGUCAUGUGUGAAAUACCUCGGCUCAACCGGGGAACGACGCAUGAAACUGGCAAGCUAGAGUACCAAAGAGGGGGGUGGAAUUCCCGGUGUAGCGGUGGAAAUGCGUAGAUAUCGGGAGGAACACCAGUGGCGAAGGCGGUCUCCUGGGGCAUUCUUGACGCUGGAGGCGCGAAAGCUGGGGGAGCAAACGGG
rnacentral:rRNA from 1 species